GACGAACGCUGGCGGCGUGCUUAACACAUGCAAGUCGAACGGAAAGGCCCUGCUUUUGUGGGGUGCUCGAGUGGCGAACGGGUGAGUAACACGUGAGUAACCUGCCCUUGACUUUGGGAUAACUUCAGGAAACUGGGGCUAAUACCGGAUAGGAGCUCCUGCUGCAUGGUGGGGGUUGGAAAGUUUCGGCGGUUGGGGAUGGACUCGCGGCUUAUCAGCUUGUUGGUGGGGUAGUGGCUUACCAAGGCUUUGACGGGUAGCCGGCCUGAGAGGGUGACCGGCACAAGGGGCAGAGUGAUACGGGACGAAGCACGGGGGGGGGCAGCAGGGGGGGAGUAUGCACAAUGGGGGGAAGCCUGGUGGAGCAUCGCCGGGUGCGGGGUGUGGGCUUUCGGGGUGUAAACGGCUUUCGCCUGGGUCGAAGGGUGGUGACGGUAAAGGGGGAAAAAACCACCGCUAACUACGUG
rnacentral:rRNA from 1 species